GUGUCAUUAAUUAUUCAUGGAAAAAAAAGAUAUUUUCUUAUGGUCAUAUUAAUCAUUGACUAAUGCCUCAAAACAAUAUGUCUGACAAUUCAAGUUAGUGUAAACAUUUCAACUUUCGUACUUUAGCAGUACCACGAAUAUGUAAUUGCAAAUUUAGGCCGUGUAUUAUGAAAAGUUUUAUUUCUUAAUAAAAUUUGUUACAGCAAUCCAUUAAUGGUUUGGUCUAUAAAAAGAAAAAAAGAAAAUGUGCAGUAAUAAUUCAAUAGUCAGGUGCAUAUUCAUAUAUUUUGGCUAAAUAACAAUAAAACACAUUUUAAUAGAUUAUCUAAACAAAGAAUGUGUUAAAUGUUAAUGCAAUUAUAACUCCGCGCUCUCUCUGUGUGUGUGUGUGUGUACACACCCCCUGCCAAUCAGAGGCGGCUGCUAGGCGGCCAAAUGGCGUUUUUUCUGCCGUUGUUGGCUUGCCUGUGUCUCAUUGGCCCUGACCUUCUGACAGGAGGGCAGAGAGGCAGUCGGAAAACAGAUUUAAACCAACGUUUGAACCGUUGCCUCGGUUUGUUAGUACUGUGAGAAAACUUAAUUGACGAAGAAGCCUGGAUGCUAAAACAAGCUUGGAAGCUUAUUUUUUUGUCGAACACGAGAGAGGCUGGAAGCUGAACACACCUGCGGCGCAAAGGUGUCACCACUUUGUCCGCGACAUCGUCCACGAUUGCCGAGAUGUCAUCCACAAUCGCAGAGACAUGGUCCAUGAUCGGAGAGACAUUGUUGAGGAUGAGGGAGACAUCGUCCACGAUCAGAGACGUUGUCCACGAUCGCAGAGACCUUGUCAAAGAUGAGAGAGGCGUUGUCCGUGAUCAGAGACAUUGUCCAUGCUUCGUAGAGACCUUGCGAUAGAAUCGGCGGAGACGGGGGUCACCGAUUUGACGGCAUUGCCCGCGAUCAGGGACAUUGUCGAUGACCACAGAGACACCGUUUAUGAUCUCAGAGACAUCGUCCACGAUCACAAAGACACAGUCCAUGAUCGCAGAGACAUUGUCCAUAAUCUCAGAGACACUGUCCGCGAUCACAGAGACGUAGUCCACGAUCACAGAGAGUCUCCGUACAAUGAAGUUCUUUCAGACCAAGACAGAGGCCUCCGGGUGUCACCACUUUGUACGCGACAUCGUCCACGAUCGCAGAGACAUGGUCCAUGAUCGGAGAGACAUUGUUGAGGAUGAGGGAGACAUCGUCCACGAUCAGAGACGUUGUCCACGAUCGCAGAGACCUUGUCAAAGAUGAGAGAGGCGUUGUCCGUGAUCAGAGACAUUGUCCAUGCUUCGUAGAGACCUUGCGAUAGAAUCGGCGGAGACGGGGGUCACCGAUUUGACGGCAUUGCCCGCGAUCAGGGACAUUGUCGAUGACCACAGAGACACCGUCUAUGAUCUCAGAGACAUCGUCCACGAUCACAAAGACACAGUCCAUGAUCGCAGAGACAUUGUCCAUAAUCUCAGAGACACUGUCCGCGAUCACAGAGACGUAGUCCACGAUCACAGAGAGUCUCCGUACAAUGAAGUUCUUUCAGACCAAGACAGAGGCCUCCGGGUAAUUCACAAACAGCUUUACAUCAACUGUCCAACACAGAGCACUGUUUAGUAAGGCAUCAGAAAAUGUCAUAGUACAGUAAGGUGUCAAAAACUCAAAAAUGUCAUCGUAUAGUAAACUGUCACAGGUUGAAAUGUGAAAUAAUGAUUCUGUAUGUGAUGUCUGUGGUGGAAG